CUUGUACUCCCUCCAUCCGAAAAUACUUGUCAUCGAAAUGGAUGUAUCUAGAUGUAUUUUAGUUCUAGACACAUCCAUUUUGAUGACAAGUAAUUCCGGACGGAGGGAGUACUUG
rnacentral:pre_miRNA from 1 species